AUCCUCUUCCUUGUUCGGCGGCGGCUCCUCGAGCUUGGCCAGCGGCCUCCCUGCGGUCAUCCUCCAUCUCUCUGUAACCGCGCCACCACCUCAAGAUCUUCGCUGCUAGUCCUUGGAGCUCGUCGCUACUCUAUCCUCACCGCUGCGGUGUCCGUGACUCAGAAUUCAUCUAUCCCGUCACCUGACCGGUCCUUCACCCCGUGCUGGGAGAUGGAAUCCAUUGUUGUGCCCUACCUUUUCCGUUUUAAUCAUCUUUCGGUUUUUUGUGCUGUGGGAAUUCGAUUUCUUUUCAAAAUCUUCUCUUUCUUUUCCUCAGAGCAUCAGUGAUGUUACAUCCAUAUUUACUCAUCCUUGCACUUUGAGCUGCGCGGUGAAGAAAUCAUUGGGGAUUGUUGUCUGAGAUGCUCUCGUACCUUUUCCUCUGUUUUUUGGCUAUUUUUUAGUUUCUUGGUGGCGCGGAUUGGCGAAUUUCGACACUUGGAUUCAGUUUCUGGCUGAAUCUCGCAUUGAAUCAAACCAAGCGCACACUCGCCCUCCAGGAGACCGGCUAAUCAGACACUAAAAGAUUUGGCAUGAGUGAAGCAAAUAUUUUGGCGGCUGAUGUUUAUUUUUUCUGGAACACCAUUGUUGCCACAUUCAUCCUUGCACUUUGUGUUUCUGUCUGUGGAUUUUCUAAAUUCUGAAACUUGGAGCCAGGAUCAA